UCCAUUUUUGUGUCGCCUUGAAAAGGUGACAUAUAGGGGUUACUUUUGUCGGCGGUGUCGGCGGCGUCUGUGUCGGCGGCGUCGUUGUCGUUGUCGGCGUCGGCGUCCCCUAAAGCUUGUCCGGAGCAUAACUCAGUCACUAUAAGUCUGAUUGACUUCAAACUUGGUAUGCAUGCUUCUUUCAAUAACCUGAAGUGCAGUGCACAAGGACCGGUACUCUGCAUUUCUUAUUUUUUGAGUUAUUGCCCUUUGUUUAUUUUCAUACUUUAAUUUUGUCCGGGCCAUUUCUCCUUAAGUAUAAAAGCUAUGGACUUGAAACUUCAUAGGAUGAUAGAUCUCAUUAAGAAGAAGUGCAGUGCACAAGAAUCAGUACUUUGCAUUUCUUAAUUUUUGAGUUAUGGCCCUUUGUUAAUUUUCAUACUUAAUUUUUGUCCAGGCCAUUUCUCCGAAUGUAUAAAAGUUAUGGACUUGAAACUUCAUAGGAUGAUAGAUCUCAUUAAGGAAAAGUGCAGUGCAUAAGAACUGAUACUCUGCAUUUCUUAUUUUUUGAGUUAUUGCCCUUUGUUGAUUUUCUUACUUUAUUUUUGUCCUGGUCAUUUCUCCUCAAGUAUGAAAGCUAUGGACUUGAAACAUCAUAGAAUGAUAGAUCUUAUUGAUAAGAAGUGCAGUGCACAGAAACUGCUGCUCUGCACUUAUUAUUUUUUUAGUUAUUGCCCUUUGUUAUUUUUCAUAUUUCAUUUUUGUCCUGGCCAUUUCUCCUAAACUACAUUGUUCACAAGGCGACACAUCCGACUCGCGGAGUUCUAGUUAUGU